UACAGAGGGCUCAAGCGUUGUUCGGAUUCAUUGGGCGUAAAGGGUGCGUAGGUGGCGGGGCAAGUUGGAUGUGAAAUCCCGGAGCUUAACUCCGGAACUGCAUUCAAUACUGCCUUGCUCGAGUACUGGAGAGGAGAUUGGAAUUUACGGUGUAGCAGUGAAAUGCGUAGAUAUCGGAAGGAAGACCAGUGGCGAAGGCGGAUCUCUGGACAGUUACUGACACUGAGGCACGAAGGCCAGGGGAGCAAACGGG
rnacentral:rRNA from 1 species